rnacentral:tRNA from 4 species
GGGGCCUUAGCUCAGUUGGUAGAGCGCCUGCUUUGCAAGCAGGAUGUCAGGAGUUCGAAUCUCCUAGGCUCCACC